UACGUAGGGGGCGAGCGUUGUCCGGAAUCAUUGGGCGUAAAGAGCGUGUAGGCGGUUCGGUAAGUCUGCCGUGAAAACCUGGGGCUCAACCCUGGGCGUGCGGUGGAAACUGUCGAGCUAGAGGAUGGUAGAGGGGAGUGGAAUUCCCGGUGUAGCGGUGAAAUGCGCAGAUAUCGGGAGGAGCACCAGUAGCGAAGGCGGCUCCCUGGGCCAUUCCUGACGCUGAGACGCGAAAGCGUGGGGAGCAAACAGG
rnacentral:rRNA from 1 species